rnacentral:rRNA from 1 species
GCGUGCAGGCCUAACACAUGCAAGUCGAGCGGUAGCACAGAGAGCUUGCUCUCGGGUGACGAGCGGCGGACGGGUGAGUAAUGUCUGGGAAACUGCCUGAUGGAGGGGGAUAACUACUGGAAACGGUAGCUAAUACCGCAUAACGUCGCAAGACCAAAGUGGGGGACCUUCGGGCCUCAUGCCAUCAGAUGUGCCCAGAUGGGAUUAGCUAGUAGGUGGGGUAACGGCUCACCUAGGCGACGAUCCCUAGCUGGUCUGAGAGGAUGACCAGCCACACUGGAACUGAGACACGGUCCAGACUCCUACGGGAGGCAGCAGUGGGGAAUAUUGCACAAUGGGCGCAAGCCUGAUGCAGCCAUGCCGCGUGUGUGAAGAAGGCCUUCGGGUUGUAAAGCACUUUCAGCGGGGAGGAAGGCGGUAAGGUUAAUAACCUUGUCGAUUGACGUUACCCGCAGAAGAAGCACCGGCUAACUCCGUGCCAGCAGCCGCGGUAAUACGGAGGGUGCAAGCGUUAAUCGGAAUUACUGGGCGUAAAGCGCACGCAGGCGGUCUGUCAAGUCGGAUGUGAAAUCCCCGGGCUCAACCUGGGAACUGCAUUCGAAACUGGCAGGCUAGAGUCUUGUAGAGGGGGGUAGAAUUCCAGGUGUAGCGGUGAAAUGCGUAGAGAUCUGGAGGAAUACCGGUGGCGAAGGCGGCCCCCUGGACAAAGACUGACGCUCAGGUGCGAAAGCGUGGGGAGCAAACAGGAUUAGAUACCCUGGUAGUCCACGCCGUAAACGAUGUCGAUUUGGAGGUUGUGCCCUUGAGGCGUGGCUUCCGGAGCUAACGCGUUAAAUCGACCGCCUGGGGAGUACGGCCGCAAGGUUAAAACUCAAAUG